rnacentral:SRP_RNA from 1 species
GCUGGGCGUGGUGGCUCAUGCCUGUGAUCCCAGCUACUUGGGAGGCUGAGGCAGGAGAAUCGCUUGAACCCGGGAGGUGGAGGUUGCAGUGAGCUGAAAUCGUGCCACUGCACUCCAGCCUGGGUGACAGAGCGAGAGUCCGCCUCAA